rnacentral:rRNA from 1 species
GACGAACGCUGGCGGCGUGCCUAAUACAUGCCAGUAGAACGCUGAAGGAGGAGCUUGCUUCUCUGGAUGAGUUGCGAACGGGUGAGUAACGCGUAGGUAACCUGCCUGGUAGCGGGGGAUAACUAUUGGAAACGAUAGCUAAUACCGCAUAAUAGUAGAUGUCGCAUGACAUUUGCUUAAAAGGUGCAAUUGCAUCACUACCAGAUGGACCUGCGUUGUAUUAGCUAGUUGGUGAGGUAACGGCUCACCAAGGCAACGAUACAUAGCCGACCUGAGAGGGUGAUCGGCCACACUGGGACUGAGACACGGCCCAGACUCCUACGGGAGGCAGCAGUAGGGAAUCUUCGGCAAUGGACGGAAGUCUGACCGAGCAACGCCGCGUGAGUGAAGAAGGUUUUCGGAUCGUAAAGCUCUGUUGUAAGAGAAGAACGAGUGUGAGAGUGGAAAGUUCACACUGUGACGGUAUCUUACCAGAAAGGGACGGCUAACUACGU